CCUACGGGAGGCUGCAGUGAGGAAUAUUGGUCAAUGGGCGCGAGCCUGAACCAGCCAAGUCGCGUGAGGGAGGACGGCCCUACGGGUUGUAAACCUCUUUUGCCGGGGAGCAACGGGCGUCACGUGUGGCGCCACUGAGAGUACCCGGAGAAACAGCAUCGGCUAAUUCCGUGCCAGCAGCCGCGGUAAUACGGAGGAUGCGAGCGUUAUCCGGAUUUUUUGGGUUUAAAGGGUUCGUAGGCGGUCGGAUAAGUUAGGGGUGGAAUGCCGAGGCUCAACUUCGGAAUUGCCUAUGAUACUGUUCGGCUAGAGAGUAGUUGCGGUAGGCGGAAUGUAUGGUGUAGCAGUGAAAUGCGUAGAGAU
rnacentral:rRNA from 1 species